GCGACCCCAGGUCAGGCGGGACUACCCGCUGAAUUUAAGCAUAUAAAUAAGCGGAGG
rnacentral:rRNA from 7 species